AAUUCGCCCUUAGAGUUUGAUCCUGGCUCAGGAUGAACGCUGGCGGCGUGCUUAACACAUGCAAGUCGAACGGAGCACCCCUGAUCGAGUUUUCGGACAAGUGAAGGGAAUGCUUAGUGGCGGACGGGUGAGUAACGCGUGAGGAACCUGCCUUGGAGAGGGGAAUAACACAGUGAAAAUUGUGCUAAUACCGCAUGAUGCAGUUGGGUCGCAUGGCUCUGACUGCCAAAGAUUUAUCGCUCUGAGAUGGCCUCGCGUCUGAUUAGCUAGUUGGUGGGGCAACGGCCCACCAAGGCGACGAUCAGUAGCCGGACUGAGAGGUUGACCGGCCACAUUGGGACUGAGACACGGCCCAGACUCCUACGGGAGGCAGCAGUGGGGAAUAUUGGGCAAUGGGCGCAAGCCUGACCCAGCAACGCCGCGUGAAGGAAGAAGGCUUUCGGGUUGUAAACUUCUUUUAUUGAGGACGAAACAAAUGACGGUACUCAAUGAAUAAGCCACGGCUAACUACGUGCCAGCAGCCGCGGUAAUACGUAGGUGGCAAGCGUUAUCCGGAUUUACUGGGUGUAAAGGGCGUGUAGGCGGGACUGCAAGUCAGAUGUGAAACCCAUGGGCUCAACCCAUGGCCUGCAUUUGAAACUGUAUUUCUUGAGUGAUGGAGAGGCAGGCGG
rnacentral:rRNA from 1 species